GACGAACGCUGGCGGCGCGCCUAACACAUGCAAGUCGAACGGUGAAGAGGAGCUUGCUCCUCGGAUCAGUGGCGGACGGGUGAGUAACACGUGAGCAACCUGGCUCUAAGAGGGGGACAACAGCUGGAAACGGCUGCUAAUACCGCAUAAACUUUUUAAGACCCAUGUUUUAAAAAGGAAGGUGGCGCAAGCUAUCGCUUAUGGAUGGGCCCGCGUCUGAUUAGCUAGUUGGUGGGGUAACGGCCUACCAAGGCAACGAUCAGUAGCCGGCCUGAGAGGGUGGACGGCCACACUGGGACUGAGACACGGCCCAGACUCCUACGGGAGCAGCAGUGGGGAAUAUGCGCAAGUGGGGGAAACCCUGACGCAGCGACGCCGCGUG
rnacentral:rRNA from 1 species